rnacentral:rRNA from 1 species
ACGACUACAUAUCAGGCAUAUCAAUAAGCGGAGGAAAAGAAACUAACAAGGAUUCCCUUAGUAACGGCGAGUGAAGCGGGUAGAGCUCAAAUUUGAAAUCUUCAAGGUUCUACCUUGACGAAUUGUAGUUUAAAGAAGUGUUUUCUGUUAGAUGAGUAGCAAAAGUUCCUUGGAAUGGGACAUCAUAGAGGGUGAGAAUCCCGUAUUUGGUUAUUCAUUCUAGCUUUGUGAUACACUUUCAAAGAGUCGGAUUGUUUGGAAUGCAGUCCAAAAUGGGUGGUAAAUUUCAUCUAAAGCUAAAUAUUGGCGAGAGACCGACAGCGAACAGGUACCGUGAGGGAAAGAUGAAAAGAACUUUGAAAAGAGAGUUAAACAGUACGUGAAAUUGUCAAAAGGGAAGCGUUUGACACCAGUGUUGUUUUUCCGAAAAUCAAUUACGAAUGGCUUGAUUUUGUGUUGUAUCGACCUUAUCAGCUUUCUUCACUUUUUUCGAGUCUUUCUUACUGCACUUUUUCGGUUAACAAGUCAACAUCAAUUUCUUUUGUUGUAAAAGAGGUAUUCGGAAGGUGGCUUUCUUUUCGGAGAAAGUGUUUAUAGCCCUAUACUUCUACAAUCGGAGAGAUUGAGGUCUGCAGCGUAGAUCCUUCGGGGUUAGAUACACUUGUGCUAAGUUGUAGCUUUUCAUAGACAACUUGUUGACUAUGUUUAGUCUUGACGGCUUACUCGCUUGUGCUAUUUUACCUACGCUUAGGAUGUUGAGUAGCGACAUACGCAC